GAUCAUGGCUCAGGAUGAACGCUAGCUACAGGCUUAACACAUGCAAGUCGAGGGGCAGCAUGACGAUAGCUUGCUAUUGUUGAUAGCGACCGGCGCAAGGGUGAGUAACGCGUAUCCAACCUUCCCGUUGCUAGGGGAUAACCUUGCGAAAGUAAGACUAAUACCCUAUGAAGUUCUUCGCAGACAUCUAAAGAGAACGAAAGAUUUAUCGGCAACGGAUGGGGAUGCGU
rnacentral:rRNA from 1 species